rnacentral:lncRNA from 1 species
GUAUUUUGACUAUGAGGGGAGCCGGUAGAAUGUCAUGGCCCCGUCCUAUCUAUGUAUGUAGAGGUGUGCGUUGGACAAGUAUUUUGUAAAUGAGCUUGACUCUUAUUCUAUGAUGUCAUUUUGAAAUGGUUUACCCUUAGUCCCUAUUUCCCAUUAAUUAAUGUUGAAUGUACUUCCGCGACCGAUGAAGUGUGAUGACAAGUUUGAGAGGCUUGUUUGGGGUUCCUUCGGGUUCCUCAUUCGCCAUGUCACGUCUAGGCCCUAGGCUUGGGUCGUGACAACUUGCUAGGUCAUUUUAUUCAGUUAUACAUGCCUCAGUUAAGAAUGUUUCAUUAUCAGUAUAUUACUGUUGCAUUUUCAGUUAGCAUGUCAGUAUUUUGAGCUAUUUAGUAUUACAUAAUUCAGUUAUAACGUGUUACAUACAUAAUCAGUUAGGAGUAGGCUUAAUACCGAGUGGACUAAGGGUCAGUCACCCUCAUAGUCCCAGAACUACGUGCCCCCGUAGGAUAAGUCCCCUCUAUAGGCAACAUAUUUAGUGAUCACGCCAGUCAUGCCUUUAUACUCUUAGCAAGGUAUAUUGGGUCCUCUCGAUGGGGUGAUACAUAGGACUCCACGGAUAGCUCUCAUUGUUUUAUGUCGAUUAUAAGUAGCUACCACAGUGAGAUUCUAGUGCAUUGACCAGGUUAUCAGUUACAUUUCAAUAUUCAGUCUCAGUAUGUCAUGUACUUGGUCGUUGCAUUCAGUUUAGUUCAUAUUCAGUAUCUUCAGUAUAUUUCAGUAUUUCCAUCAUAAUCAGAUUAUAUCAUUGCUCUUAUUUUUUUUUUCAGUUGUGUAUAUGUUGUUCAGCUUUAUCCUAUCCUGCAUUCUCAGUACCUUUCAAGUACUGACGCAUACUUUCCGAUACAUCUUCUCAUGAUGUAGGUUCAGGUCCUCAGCAUUCAGACCACGCAUAGAUUGGUUUCCAAUCUCCAUUUCAGCAGUAUCAGUGGUGAGUCCUUAUUCUUCAAGGACGAUUUACAUGUCCUUUCUUCGGUCAUUCCUAUUUUAGUUUCCGUUUUGCUAGAGUUAGUUGGGGGCAUGUCCCAGCCUCUCUAGUCAAUUAGAGGCUGUCAUUCAGACAUAGUUAGAUUCAAUUUUAGUUUGAGUCUGAUAUUUUGGUUUUUAUUGAACUCUCAGUUUUUAUAUAUAUUCAGACUUAGAAUGGGUAUUCCCCAUCAUAUCACUUUAUGUCAUGUUUAAGCUUUCGCACAGUAUUAUUACCUUCAGUUAUCUUAGUUUGCUUAUGAUAUGCUUGCAGGGUUAGCUUGGGGUCACUCGCGAUCCUAAGUCUCAUAUCGCCAAAAAAAAAAUUCCAAAUAUUAAAAAGCAGAAAUACUCGAGUAAUAUGGAAAUUCCAUUAGUUUCUCAAAUUAUUCAUUUCAAAGAUUAUACAUCGAUCUAUGUUUAUCUAUCAUUACUAUUGUUACGUCAAGGGGGUAGCCUCAUGGCGUGACAUUGACUAUGCUAAGGAGGGCAGGUAUCCAUACUCGUUUAUUGCUUAUUGUUUGUGAAAAUUCAUCUCUGGUACCUCACUAUAGGUAUACACUCAUGGCAUUCCAGCUAAAGUGAAGAUCUAAUCAUAACAUCCUGGGCUCUCUAUAGCAAGGGACCUGGUCCUCUUGCAAGGUUAGUAUCAUCUCACUACAUUGUAUUUUGUAAACGGUCACUUCCACGUGUCAUCUCCUUGUUUCAUGUGUCAGUUACAAACGCCAUUUCAGUUUUAAAACCAAAGGUCACCUCGGUUCAGGGACAUUACACUAAGCAUAAACAAGUCAUCUUUUUUCAUUCUUGUGGCAUCGAAACAAAUCAAAUACUCUCUCAAUCUCUUCAAAAGUUCUCUCCUCUUCUCCGAUUAUUCUUGAUCUCUUUUUUAAAAUGUCAAAUACAUCCUCUUCCUCCAAAUCUCAUCUCUCCGAAGUAUUUUAAAACCUUAGUUCAUUCAAUUUCUUGACUCUUCCCUUUGAAGCCUUUCUGUCUACUCCAAUGUGGGCUUGGUGAAACUGGUGAAUCCCCCACACCCCACACUGAAGCGUUAGAAUCCCCUCUACCUAAUCCCCGUGGAAAACCUUCCCUGUUCUCCAACGAUGGUUCUGUCCGGGAAGGAUUUUCUAAAUUGUGAAGCUUAGUCAGUUGUCAAGCCUGCAACUGAGGCACCCACUGAACAUUUGAAUGUUUUGAAUCAACUAGACCCCGUAUCCUCGACUAUGUCUGAUAGGAUUUUUGAUGGGGAUUUACCUAAGGGUAAGGAAACAGAGCCUAAUAUUUUGCUUGCUGCAGAAGAACUAGUGGUGCAAAGUCUUGCAUCACUAAGAAGAAUUAUUCAGUCACCUUUCUUAGAGGGAGAGUGUAGGUCACCGGAACAGGUCCCCCAAUGGGUCCAACCUAUGUUCGACAAAACUCCUAAACCUGUAGGAGUUACUAGCGAAGCAGACGAUGAAGAUGUUUCUCUCUCUUGGUCAAAAAAGGUGUUAGAGGAGCACAUGCUCCAACUAUAUCUUCCUCUAAUCUUGCAGGAAUUGAUACUGCACCUGAGGCUAGAAGUCUUGAUGAACCUACUGAAUCUGACAAGAAAAGAAAGAGAAAAAGAAAGGGGAAGGUUGUUGAAUCCAAAAUGAGGGGAGAGACAGAAAGUAUGUGAUAAUGGGAACUACCCAAAAGCUACUUGGGAUGCAAUUGCAGAAAACAAAGUAAAAACAGUAAGGAAUCGAAGGGAAAGAAAGAUUGAUAGUGUGUCUGUUGAAAAUCACAUAGUGUUAACUCCGGAGACAGGUUCAAGUGACAUUAAAUGUGAAGAUAUCAAUAGAGCUUUGGCCAAAAGGCAAAAGGAGGGGGAGGAUGAACGUAUAAAGGCUUAGGAGAGUACUAAUUUGAGCAAGAAACCUCUGGCCAAAAGGGUAAGGAUCACUACCAAGGCUGCUUCAAAAUCCAAAUCUGUCAAGGGACCAAGUCCGACUGCACAAAGACCAUAUGAAGAAAAGGUCUUGACUAGGGAGGAAUACAUUGCUGAAAUUAAAUGGCAGAAAGUACUCAAUGGAAGGGUGUUUGAUUCUGAAAUUCUCACAAAACCGGGUUUGUGCACUCGCUAUGAUUUUAUUUCCUUGCAAAUUUGGGAACACUUGUUUGAGUGUCUAGUGUCAUACUUACAUGAGCUAGAGGUACAUGAGUUCUACUACAAAAUGGAACUCCUUGAUGAUAGUGGGAUUCAGACAACUAUGCGAGAAGUGAAGAAAGUCUAGGAAUUAUACUGGGAGUUCCCUCUCGAGGGAUCAGGUCCGUUGAAGGAUGCAAGUCAUCUACUGAUUUUGUCCAAUAUGCUACCUAGUAUGGGGAUGUGAAAUGUGUGGGCUUCCUAAAAAGUUUCUCAAAGGAGAGUAUUAGUUAUUCUUUGAGUUUGUUAACAAAGUGGUUUUGCCCAGAAGUGAAAAGAGAAUAGUGGCAUCCGCAACAGACCUAUUUCUCAUGGAGCAGGUGGACGAACUUGAAGCUAUUAGCUUGCCUGGGAUUAUUGUAACGAUCUGUUAAGCCGUUUAGAGCACUAGACCUUUUUCUAUCAUAAAAGACUCUUCCCAUAAAUAUUAAGUAAGAAUUUGAACUAUUUAUAUAAUUGUGGUUAUUUAAUUGACUGAUAAUCUUAGAAAAUAAAUUUAGUUAGUGGUUAAUGGACCAAGUCCAUUUAUUAUUAUUUUAUUAUUAUAACACAAGACCAAAAUUUGGCUCACAAAGGAACGCCAACCGCUGCUCAGGUAAACCAUGUUUUUCUCUAUAUCGUGUAUAUUUAUAUAAGGUAUAUUAUUAGUAUUAUAUUUAGUGGAUUAAUGAGAUAAUUUUGGAGAUUCUUUUUGAAGUGCUACCUAUUUUUUUAUUGAAAUUUCUUUCUUGUCAAAAUCAAUGGAUGGUAUAAAGUAAUGAUGACCAAAUAACAUUGUUCAUAAUGAUAGUUUAAUAAUAUAAUAAUCAUUGAAGAUUGCCUUUUUUGAUAAAAUCACCAUAGGUUGAUAAUUUCUAAGAACAUGAUAUUUGGGCAGUUUCUUUUUUCGGGUUUAGUUUUAAAAUUUUAGGUUUAUUUUUUUUAUAAUAUGAGACUUAACCCUAGGUUUGAAAUUAAGAAAAAAAUGAGACUGGAUAUAUAAAUUAACCAUUAGAAACUUGAUUAUAAAUUUGUGUUCUACGUUUUAUGGGUAAUUAAAUAUAUACUAUUUGUUUAAUUUUACUAAAUUUCCAAUUUUAUCCUUGUGGACCUAGAAUCAAAGAUUUUUGGGUGAGUUUUGGGGUCUAGGAUAAAGGUAUAGUAAUGGGUGUCUACGGAUUUGGUUACUUACGAAUAAUGCAUAUUUGAUAGAUUGACAACACUUCAAAGCCUUGCAAAAGGGAAAUGCAAUAUCUUGAGGAUUCGUGACAUGUGUUCAGUAUUUCAGGUAUGUUAAGACUUUUCAGACUUCGUUGAAGGACAUUUUCCUAAUUUAAAGAUUAAAAAUGGAAUAUACAAUGGGUAAGGGUGAAAGAUGGGAGUCUUGUACCAGUGGUGUGACGGGCAUUGGUACGGGUACCGAUGUUAGUAAAGGGAAAAUUUAUUACAAUAAUGUGAUAGAUUGUAAUUCGUGAAUGCCAAAGCAUAUGGGCAUUAGCUGAUGUAUUUAGUGACUUGAUUUCUUUUGUGUGGUUGUAUUUCUUUAUUGAACCCAUAUGUUUGUGAUAAUUAAGGAGAUUAUAUGUCAUAGCAACAUUUCAUUUAUUGAAAUGCUUCAUCAUCCCGUUUAAUUGAUAUCAUAUUGUGCACAUGCAUUGACAUGAGAUUGAGUGUGAGUAAAGGUCUAACACGUGGAGAUCAUCCAUGUUGAGAUCAAGUUAUGAUCAUAAUUUGAGCACGUGGAGAUCGUCCAUGCGGGUGAUUGGUUUUGAUUAUAAGUUGGGCACGUGGAGAUCGUCCGCGCUGGGAUUGUUUGAUUUUAUGAUAGUGCGUUGAGAUCAUCUGAACAGACACGUGGAGAUAGUCCGUGUCGCUAUAUGGACCUCAUGAGUCCCCCAUGGGUCAUGAACUCUCGAUGUAUUUUCAAGGAGUAUCAUGUAUAUACGGUUGAGAGAGUACUGGGCAUUUGAGGCAUAUCAUUUCAUGGUGUCACAUUGUAGUGCAUUGCAUCUCAUUACAUCUUUCAUUAUUGUUUGAGUAUGUGCUUUAUUGAUGUUGAACAUUAUGUGAGAUUGAUUAUCCCUAUUAGAUGGAUACUUGGUUGAUAAGUAUAAGGUGGACUUGUAAAAUUAAAGAAUUAUUUUCUUAUAUAAUUUUGUCACUACUUCUUCAUUGUCGGUCUAUGAGAUAUACUGGAUACACGUGGUUUCGUACUCAUACUACACUUGUUGCACUCUAUCACGAUCUAGGGGUACCCCUAGAUGUAACAUGGCAUAUAGAACCCCGAAGGACUCCGUAUAAGCCACUUAGCAUAUCAUAACAUAAAGCAUUAGAACAAUAAAGAGUAAAACAACAUUUACGUCCAAAACAUCUUUAUAGAAAAGCGGAAGUCUAACUCAUGUCUCAACAUCGCCAUCUAUUACAAUCGAAUGAAAGUGGGCCUAGCCCAUGCAUCAUGUUCAGAAAGGAAAUACAAAAGUGAAACUACAAUAAGGAAAAUCCAUCCUCGAACCAUGAGGACUCACUAAGCUCGGAAAGAGAUCAAAAGUCCAAGCUCUAGCCACUAAAAUGGAAACCUUGUCUGUCGGACCCUACAUUUGGGAAAAAUGUAGGUAAGAGUAGGCGUUAGUACAAAAAUGCACUAAGUAUGAUAGCUAUGCAUAAAAACAUUUAAGACAUGCUAAAAAGGAAAUUUCAUUUCAUGAUAUGCAAAUUACCAAGUUUAAACAUCAUGAUAAAGGUAGUUGGAAAACAUACGUAAUAACAUCAUGGUCAAUGCAAGCGAAAUCAUCUUUAAGUCUUUAAGCACAUAUGAGAUACUUCUUUAAGUAAAUUUAGUUCAUUAAUCAAAUUGCUGUGGCAGAAUUAGCCUUAACUGACAUAGAGACCAUGUGAGCUAAAACAUGAUCACCCGGUGUCUCCCACACCGAAAAGGGAUGUUCAACUUGCCUAAGGUAGAACCAUGAACAUUUAGCUUAAGUGGAUCCACUAGCUAAUCAACCUAUGGCGGCACAUAGUUAUCGGAUAAGGAAAUUUCUUCUAGAAACCUGACCUCUACUGAUGGAAGAGCUUCAAUCUCAUGAGACUUCUUCUAGAAACUCGACCUCUACUGACGGAAGAGCUUCCAUCUCAAUGUCAAUAUCCACUCGGUGCUCAGCUUAAUUCCCACAAAAUAAAAUUUUCUUACAUAUUCUCAUUAUUCAUGGAAAGACAUGUCAUCUUGUCAAUCCAAGCUAGUUCAUUGGGAUAGCUCUUAUUCAUUGAUUCAAUUAGGUGAGAAUAGCCUUUCAACCUAAGAAUCCUUUUUAUGUGAUAAAACCUUUCAAAUCAUGGUUGUAAGUGUUUUAUGAGAAUAACCUUUCAACAACACAACAACAUUAACAACAUUGACACUUUGCCCUCAAAGCGCCCUUAAAACAUCUACAUAUGUUUCAUACGAUCAUGAAUAACUUCAAACUUUACCGUUUCAAGGUUCAGAGCUACCUUUAAUCACCAAAUCUAGAAUUCUAACAUUAGAUAGGGAUUUUAUCAUAAUUUCAUGUAUUCUAUUACUUCAUGCUUUAGAAUCAUAAAACUCAUAUUUCAUAAUCAACAAUCUUACUCAAUGAAAUCACAAUUUGGAAAACAUGGGGGUUUGCAUGGGUUCAUAUGGGAAACAUCAUAAAAGCAUUGUAAAUCAUCAAUUCAUGCUUAUUUAAACAUAAUUAAAACUUAAGAUCAAUACUCAAAAGAACCCAUGAUACUUGAGGAAAACCCUAGCUAAUUGGGGAAUCCUACCAUUUGAAAUAGAAGAAUUUGGGGACUCCAUGGGUGGAAGGAACCCAUGGAUGAAAGUUACCAUACCUCAAGUCUAAUCGCCUAUCUUCAAUGGAGAAUUUGAAUCCUUAGCUUGAAACCCUAGGUGAAUCCUUCUUCUUCUUCAAGUUUCUAGAGAGAGAAUACUUGAAAUGAAUUGGUUUUCUUUUGUGAAUUUGGAAGAAUGAACUAAUUGAGUCUAAUUUGGGGGUAAAAAGACUUAUAUAGGGUUUUUUAAAUUUAGUCAAAAUGACAUAGUAUAGAAACUAAUUAAUUGGGAAAAGACCCAACUGCCCCUAAAGACUUCUGGAUGGACUCCGGAGGGACUCCGAAGUUUAUUUAUCUCUUAGGAGGGACUCCGGGAAGAAUAUCUGGAAAGACUUCUGGAAACUCUUUUACUACUGAAACUAACUGAAUAGGAAUACUAAAGUCAUUAACUCGGACUAAGGCACUACUGAACUGCUCUUCAACUCUACAACUGGCUCACUAUGAAACUGGAACUUGACUACUCGAGUUCUACAAUCUAUUGAUGCAUAAGAGGCAUAAAGCCAGUCUAUACCUAGAAUGACAUCAAAAUCUAUCAUGUUUAACUCAACUAAGUCAUCCAUGGUACUCUUGUGACUGACAGAAACGGAGCAAUCACGAUAGACUCUUUCUGCUAAAAUAGACUCACCGUCAAGUGUAGAAAAUGUGAAGGCUCAAGAAGUUGCUCAGUAAGAACAUCAAAAUUGAAGUCUUGGAUCAUACCAGUGACAACAUCUGGCGAAUCCUCUUGCUCUCGGCGACUAGCGAUAGCAUAAAAAUGGUUUCCUUCUCCACCUGCCCUUGAAGUAGCUCAUCUAGAUGCAGCUCUAUCUGGUGGAGCAACUCAAGAAGACUAGGCUAUAUUGCCCCCAUUACCAUUACUCUGUCUGCUCUUAGGACAUUCUCUCAUAAAAUGAUCGUUCUGGCCACACUUGAAGCAACUAGUGGUGUCAUCACGACACAUCCCUGAGUGGCUCCUACCACACUUAACACAUGCAGGAGUUUUAGUACCCCCUUGUGCCUUACUACCUUGUGAAUGUGCAGGUCUAGCUCUGAAGUUCUGGAAUUCUAACUAUCGUAUGCGCAUUUGUUCCUUGGCUCAGGUGCACUAGCAGAUGAUUGAGCAUGUCCUUUCUGUUUAUGUUGGAAAGAAGAUCGGUUCGAAUUACUCUUUUGCUGCCCGGACUAAUUCCCUGAUGUCUUAGCCCUCAUUUUCUUAAACUCUUCUCUACUCCUCAGCUUGUCCUCCUCAACUUGUAGCACAUGGAUCAUCAACCUUGCUAUGUCCUUGUCACCUAUUAGCAUGGUUGCCUUACUUUAAUUAUCUGACCGACAAGACAACCCAACAACGAAAUAAACUCAUCAUGAUCCUCAUGUCGGCAACCAUAUCUUUGCUUCUCUUAGCUCACGGGGAAAGAAACGCCCCAUGAAAACACUCUCAAAACAGCCCAACUCACAAUCGGUUACGCGCAAGCACGAGUUAGAAAGAAACUGUAUAGAGAUGAACUCUAUAGCAUGAAAUGAAUAUGAAAGAAGUGAGACAAUUCCUAAAUGUUGCAGCCUCCUAAAUUAUAGAUGUGGCGAGCUUCACACCGAUAACUAGGACUCUACAGACAUGACUUUAUAGAAUCCCCUAGGACUCUUGAACUCUGGGCUCUGAUACCAAGUUGGUCACUUCCUUGAGCCUACACCCUGGGCGGGACUAGCACUCGAGAACCAUUGCUGGCCCCAAGCAAACCCUUGGUCUGGCUUACUUACUUAGUGGAAGACUUUAAGCAUUAAGAAAAGAACUCAAAUGCAAGAUAACUCAAUUGUCUCAAACUAAACUCAUAAAGUUUUAGAAAUAAACAUUUAACUUAGCCAAAGUAGCAACUCAAAUUUGAACAUAAGCCAAUAACAAAGUAAAGACAAAUGAACUAACUAACUGUCUAUCUAUGAAGCCUGUGAUAACUGAGAUGGAUUUCGGGAAAAGAUCCACAACAGCCUAAUGAACUAACUACUGAAAGCAAUAAAAGGGAUCCUCUGGAAAGCAAGGAGGCUCACNNNNNNNNNNNNNNNNNNNNNNNNNNNNNNNNNNNNNNNNNNNNNNNNNNNNNNNNNNNNNNNNNNNNNNNNNNNNNNNNNNNNNNNNNNNNNNNNNNNNNNNNNNNNNNNNNNNNNNNNNNNNNNNNNNNNNNNNNNNNNNNNNNNNNNNNNNNNNNNNNNNNNNNNNNNNNNNNNNNNNNNNNNNNNNNNNNNNNNNNNNNNNNNNNNNNNNNNNNNNNNNNNNNNNNNNNNNNNNNNNNNNNNNNNNNNNNNNNNNNNNNNNNNNNNNNNNNNNNNNNNNNNNNNNNNNNNNNNNNNNNNNNNNNNNNNNNNNNNNNNNNNNNNNNNNNNNNNNNNNNNNNNNNNNNNNNNNNNNNNNNNNNNNNNNNNNNNNNNNNNNNNNNNNNNNNNNNNNNNNNNNNNNNNNNNNNNNNNNNNNNNNNNNNNNNNNNNNNNNNNNNNNNNNNNNNNNNNNNNNNNNNNNNNNNNNNNNNNNNNNNNNNNNNNNNNNNNNNNNNNNNNNNNNNNNNNNNNNNNNNNNNNNNNNNNNNNNNNNNNNNNNNNNNNNNNNNNNNNNNNNNNNNNNNNNNNNNNNNNNNNNNNNNNNNNNNNNNNNNNNNNNNNNNNNNNNNNNNNNNNNNNNNNNNNNNNNNNNNNNNNNNNNNNNNNNNNNNNNNNNNNNNNNNNNNNNNNNNNNNNNNNNNNNNNNNNNNNNNNNNNNNNNNNNNNNNNNNNNNNNNNNNNNNNNNNNNNNNNNNNNNNNNNNNNNNNNNNNNNNNNNNNNNNNNNNNNNNNNNNNNNNNNNNNNNNNNNNNNNNNNNNNNNNNNNNNNNNNNNNNNNNNNNNNNNNNNNNNNNNNNNNNNNNNNNNNNNNNNNNNNNNNNNNNNNNNNNNNNNNNNNNNNNNNNNNNNNNNNNNNNNNNNNNNNNNNNNNNNNNNNNNNNNNNNNNNNNNNNNNNNNNNNNNNNNNNNNNNNNNNNNNNNNNNNNNNNNNNNNNNNNNNNNNNNNNNNNNNNNNNNNNNNNNNNNNNNNNNNNNNNNNNNNNNNNNNNNNNNNNNNNNNNNNNNNNNNNNNNNNNNNNNNNNNNNNNNNNNNNNNNNNNNNNNNNNNNNNNNNNNNNNNNNNNNNNNNNNNNNNNNNNNNNNNNNNNNNNNNNNNNNNNNNNNNNNNNNNNNNNNNNNNNNNNNNNNNNNNNNNNNNNNNNNNNNNNNNNNNNNNNNNNNNNNNNNNNNNNNNNNNNNNNNNNNNNNNNNNNNNNNNNNNNNNNNNNNNNNNNNNNNNNNNNNNNNNNNNNNNNNNNNNNNNNNNNNNNNNNNNNNNNNNNNNNNNNNNNNNNNNNNNNNNNNNNNNNNNNNNNNNNNNNNNNNNNNNNNNNNNNNNNNNNNNNNNNNNNNNNNNNNNNNNNNNNNNNNNNNNNNNNNNNNNNNNNNNNNNNNNNNNNNNNNNNNNNNNNNNNNNNNNNNNNNNNNNNNNNNNNNNNNNNNNNNNNNNNNNNNNNNNNNNUUUUCUGCCGGACCGAUUUUACGAAAAUGGGCAUAACUUCUUCGUCCGAACUCCGAAUGAGGUGAAACGAAGUGCGUUAGGUAGCUAACUCAAAGGGAUUUCCAUGGAUAUAUUAUUGGCCACCCAAAUAAUUUGUGUGCUAGGAGAUAUGACCCUCCAAAGUAGACCCUCGAAAAGGCUUCACUUGGAAAUUUCGGAUUUUGAUACGGUUGCUCUAAAAUUUGGGUUAGACCCAUUUCUCACUCAAUUUGACCCCCUAAACAAGAAUAUGAAGUCGGAUUUUCAAAAAACGAAACGGAUUUUUAUAUAUAUAGCUAAACAAGUUUCCGGUAACUUCCGAAGCACAUUUUUAAGAACUUUUUGGGUCAUUUCACUCACCACCAGACUCUAAGUGCUCAAUUGGAUCAACGAAGCGCUGGAUGCUGAUCCUGGUUACCUGCAUCUGCAUCAUAAUAAUAUGCAGGCCAACUGGCAUCAAUACAUUGAAUGUACAAGUAUGUAAGUUGGAAUGCUAAACAUAACUUAAGCUUGAAAAUAAUCUGAAAGAAACACUUACCUUGGCUUUACUCAACUCCUGAAUAACUUAACUCAAUAUAAAGCAAUAAAACACAUGCAUUAUAUAGAAAGCCUUUAAAACAGUAGAAAACAACUUAAUUCGUUAAAGAAGAUGUAAUAACAAACUCAACUUUACUCAUAUAAAAAGUAAUAUAGUUUCUGUGGAAGUUUCUCUAACCGACAACCACCACUAUGAGCCUAAGUGGUGAUAAAACGUCUUGCCCAUGCUGCCAGAAAUUUCCUAUACUUUGCCGUCAUAUAGAAUGCUUAACUAAGUGGAUCCACUAGUCUAUACUAAAAGCAUAAUCAGGAGUCAUCUAAAGAGUAUGAUCAUUUACUACCAAUGAUGGCUACAUGGUUUAUGGAGACGUGAGUUAUCUGAACUCAAACUCCUCCCCAUAUCGGUGCUCAAUACUACUCCCAAAAUAUACUUAGCUCAUAUUUUUGUAAAAACAAAACUCUUUCUUUGGUUUGAGAUAAUUACUCAAAAACUUAGCUUAAAAGCUCUCUUGGAAAUCUCAGUUUCCUUUCUUGCUCAAAUGUGAAAACAUUUUAACUCUUGGGAAUUUAGUUCCCAUAUAAUCUUUGAAGAAUGAACUUUACUCUUACUCUUAACUGAAAACUAGCUCAAAAGCUCUUUUGAAAAUCAAGGUUCCUUUCUUCUUCAAAUGUGAAAGCAUUUACUCUUUGGGAAUACAUAGUCCCGAUAUACUCUUUUGAAGAAAUGAACUUCAAACUUUACUCUUUACUCAACUCAAAACUCAAGUCUUAAAACAAAGUUAAAACAUUUGUAAAAGACUUUUGGAAAACUUUAUGAACUUCUCUUGACUUGGCUCUUAACUUCUCUUGACUUGACUCUUAACUUCUCUUGACUUUGACAUUUAACUUUCCUUGGAUUGAAUUAUGGAUUCAAGGAUUGUGAUUUGUGAUAGGAAAGAUCCCAUGAUGUUUAGGAGUGUUUUUAGAUAGUUAAACAUGAGAAAAGAUCAAGAAAUCACGGUAAUGAAGCAAGUUUCCGACGUGAUAAUGCAUUUAAUUAUUUGGUUGCAAAAUAAAUUUGAGGCAGAACGGUCCGUGACCACUCCUCGAUGCGGAGAAAAUUUUAUCAAUUUAGAGGUACAGGUCCGCGACGCGGACCUGGUGCCCAAAUUUGCCCGACUUUUUCCUUCUUCAUUUUCUAACCCCAAUUCACCUAAACUCGAUUCUUUUUCUUAAUAUCUCUUUAGAUUCAUGUACCCACAACAUAUACACAAGAAUCUAACUCAAACAACUCUAAUAAUCGAAUCUACAAUCUCAAGAAACUUCUCAAUCUCAUCCCAAUUCAAGAACGAAAGUAAAUUCGAGAACACAUUUCAAGAACAUUCAAACUUUCAACUUUUUAGGAAGAAUUCACACUAAAUUAAACUUGUUUGGCGCGUGGGUUAAGGAACCCAACACUGUGUGAACUCACAUACUUCGUAUGGAUCACCCCUUGACGAAAUCCACGAGCCUAGCUUCAAGAACUUGACGAUUCCUUGCUCCUUCUCCUCUUUUCUCCUCUUCUUUUCUCUUCUCUCAAAACCCUAACUUGUUUCUCAAAAGCUUAAAGUGAAUCCAAUCAGUUUAGACCCCAACUUAAUUACCACAAACGAAAUUAAUUAAUUGGGUGGUGAAAAGACCAUAAUGCCCUUCUAAAAUCCGGAUUGGACUUUCCUUAUUUGAACAGCCCAACUUCCAAUGAGCAUAAAUCACUCAUACGAACUCGGAAUCGCGCAAACUCGGUGGCAUUGGAAAGAUUAUUUCACAAUAUUUUGAAAUACACCUAACUCAUCCUGAUCUAGGAGUUAUGGUCGUUUGAAGUUGACCAAAUACUCAAACUUAACUUAACUUUACCUAUUUUUUCUAGAUUUUUGUUAGUUCCAAAAAUCACUCUUUCUAAAUCUAGCUCUUUCUAGUUCUUUCAAUAUGCGAGAUGUUACAAUAUCUCCCCCUUGUGAAUAUUCGUCCUCGAAUGAGAUUACUCUUAGUAGGCUAAGGGUGUAACAUGUAACAUUCAGCUCAAACAUCCAACAAGCAAUGCAAUUACAGCACGCUAACUUAUAAAUUAAAGAGUACUAAGAAGAGAAUUAGUACCUUGUUCUGGAAUUUCUCCGGUUUUAAAGAGAUGUGGAUAUCUCUUCUUCAUAUCUUCCUCAGCUUCCCAAGUAGCUUCCUCAACAAACUGGUUUCUCCAAAGAACAUUGAUUGAUGCUACUUCUUUAGUCCUCAGCUUGCGAACUUGGUGAUCUAGAAUCUGAACCGGAAUAUCUUCAUAAGAUAAGUUAUCCUUGAUCCCAAUAUCUUCCGUUGGUAUUAUAAGUGAAGGAUCUCCCAUGCACUUCUUCAACAUGGAAAUACGAAACACCGAAUGAACCGUUGCUAUCUCUUAUGGUAGCUCCAACUCAUAAGCUGCAUUACCAACCCUUUUCAACAUUCUAUAAGGUCCAAUAUACCGGGGACUAAGUUUCCCCUUCUUAUAAAAUAUCAUAACAACCAUCAUGGGUGAAACUUUAAGAUGUACCCAAUCAUCUACUUCAAACUUUAACUCCCUUCUCCUAACACCAGUGUGGGAUUUCUGACGACUCUGCACCGUUUUCAACCUCUCUUUGGAUGACUUUCAUUUUCUCCAUAGCUUGAUGAACUAAGUGUGGUCCUUUUAACCCAGCUUCACCAACUUCAAACCAUCCAAUAGGAGAUCAGCAUCUUCUCCCAUAAAGAGCUUCGUAAGGAGCCAUCUGGAUGUUAGAAUGGUAACUAUUGUGGUAAACAACUCAAUGAGAGGUGCGUGAUCAUCCCAAUUACCCUUGAAAUCAAUCAUACAAUCCACCUUGAUACUUCAAAACACCAUCCCCCCCUUGUUCAAAAGCCAUCACUUUUUGCUUAUGAACACUUUUCUUUAAUUCAAUAAAAAAAAUAGGAUCUUGGUCUUCCUUCUCUUUUACUUCUGACACUAAUGAUGAUUUAACCCCAUUCAUCACCACUACUCCUCCUUCUAUGGAAUCCAUUCGUCGAACUCCUAGUCGUGCAAGUCUAUGCACCUAUUUUGCUAACUCUUUCUUAUCUUCCUCAAAAUUGGCGGUACUACCCAUAGAUAAUCUACUCAAGGCAUCAGCAACAACAUUAGCCUUACCUGGGUGAUAAAGAAUACUCAUGUCAUAAUCUUUGAGUAAUUCUAACGACCUCCUCUAUCUAAGAUUAAGCUUUUUCUGACUAAACACAUAUUGAAGACUCUUGUGAUCGGUGAACACAUCCACAUGAACACCAUAAAGAUAAUGGCGCCAUAUUUUCAAAGCAAAUACUACGGCAGCCAACUCUAGAUCAUAGGUUGGGUAAUUCUUCUCAUGAACCUUCAAAUGGAGGCACAAGUUACAACUUUGCCAUUUUGCAUUCUCACACAACCCAAACCAACUCUAGAUGCAUCACAGUACACAACAAAACCUUGCGUACCUUCUGGUAGGUUAAAAUUGGGCAAUAGUCAACCUCUUUUUCAAUACCUGAAAGCUUUUCUCACAAGAUCCAGACCAUUGAAACUUCAUUGUUUUCUGAGUUAACUUGGUUAAAGGGGAUGAAAUAGACGAGAAUCCCUCUACGAACCUUUUAUAAUAGCCAGCCAAACCCAAGAAACUCCUAAUAUCACUUGGAGAUAUGGGUCUAGGACAAUUUUGCACUACCUCUAUUUUCUGAGUAUCAACUUUAAUUCCCUCUCCAGACACAAUGUGGCCUAAGAAUGCCACAGACUCAAGCCAAAACUCGCAUUUAGAGAACUUGGCAUACAACUCUCUAUACUUUAUAAUUUGGAGAACUAUUCUGAGAUGACUAGCAUGAUCUUCUUCAUUCCUUGAAUAGAUUAGUAUGUCAUCAAUGAAGACGAUAACAAACAUAUCUAAAUAAGGUCCAUGAAUGUUGCAGGCACAUUGGUCAAACCAAAGGACAUAACUAAGAACUCAUAAUGACCAUAACGGGUCCUGAAUGCUGUCUUGGGAAUAUCACAUUCCCUUACUUUCAACUGAUGGUACCCAAACCUGAGGUCUAUCUUAGAGAAAAAAGUAGCACCCUGAAGCUGAUCGAAAAGAUCAUCAAUUCAUGGAAGAGGAUACUAGUUCUUGAUGGUAACCCUGUUCAACUGACGAUAAUAUAUACACAUCCUAAGGGAACCAUCUUUCAUUCUCACAAAUGGGACUAGAGCACCCCAAAGAGAGAUACUUGGUCGAAUGAAACCUUUCUCUAAAAGAUCUUUCACCUACUCUUUUAACUCUUUCAACUCUGUUGGUGCCAUUCUAUAUGGCGGAAUAGAUAAAGGACAAGUAUCAGGAAGAAUAUCUAUAUCGAAGUUAUUUCUCUCUCAAGAGGGACUCUGCGAAGAUCAUCUGGAAAGACUUCUGGAAACUCUUUUACUACUGAAACUAACUGAAUAUGAGGUAUCUCAACACUAGAGUAAUUAACUCGGACUAAGUGAUAGACACUCCCCUAGGGAACUAAAUUUCUUGCCUUAAGGUAAGAAAUAAGACGGCCCUUAGGCACUACUGAACUGCUCUUCCACUCUAUAACUGGCUCACUGGGAAACUUGAACCUGACUACUCGAGUUCUACAAUAUAUUGACUCAUAAAAGGCAGGAAGUCAGUCCAUACCUAGAAUGACAUCAAAAUCUACCAUGUCUAACUCAACUAAGUCAGCCAUGGUACUCUUGUGAUUGACGAAAACAAAACAAUCACGAUAGACUCUUUCUGCUAGAAUAGACUCACCAUCAGGUGUAGAAAUUGUGAAGGCUCAAAAAUUUGCUCAGGAACAUCAAAAUUGAAGUCUUGGAUCAUACUAGUGACAACAUCUGGCGAAUCCUCUUGCUUUCGGUAACUAGCGAUAGUAUAAAGACGGUUUCCUUAUCCGCCUGCCCUUGAAGUAGCUCAUCUAGAUGCAGCUCUAUCUGGUGGGGCAACUGAAGAAGACUGAGCUCUAUUACCCCCACUACCAUUACUCUGUCUUCUCUAAGGACAUUCUCUCAUAAAAUGAUCAUUCUGGCCACACUUGAAGCAACUAGUGGAGUCAUCACUACACAUCCCUGAGUGGAUACUACCACACUUAGCACAUGUAGGAGUCUUAGUACCCCCUUGUGCUUUACUACCUUGCGAAAGUGCAGGUCUAGCUCUGAAGUUCUGGAAUUCUGACUAUUGUACACAUCCCUGAGUGGAUACUACCACACUUAGCACAUGUAGGAGUCUUAGUACCCCCUUGUGCUUUACUACCUUGCGAAAGUGCAGGUCUAGCUCUGAAGUUCUGGAAUUCUGACUAUUGUACUCACAUUUGUUCCUUGGUGCAGGUGCACUAGCAGAUGAUAGAGCAGGUCCUUUCUGCUUAUGUUGGAAAGAAGACCCGUUCACAUUACUCUUUUGCUGCCCGGACUCAUUCUAUGAUGUCUUAGCCCUCUUAUUCUUAAACUCUUCGCUAUCCCUCAGCUUGUCCUCCUCAACUUAUUGCACAGGGAUCAUCAGCCUUACUAUGUCCAUGUCACCUAUUAGCAUGGCUGCCUUACUUUCCUUAUCUGACAGACGAGGCAAGACAACAAUGAAUAAACUCAUCAUGCUCCUCAUGUCGGCAACCAUCUAUAUGCUUCUCUUAGCUCACGGGAAAAGAAACGCCCUAUGAAAGAACUCUCAAAAUAGCCUAACUCAACUUCGGUUACGCGCAAGCACGAGUUAGAAAGAAACUGUAUAGAGAUGAACUCUAUCGCACGAAAUGAAUAUGAAAGAAGUGAGGUAAUUCCUAAAUGUUGCAGCCUCUUAAUUAUAGAUAUGGCACAUUUCACACCGAUAAUUAGGAUUCUACAGACAUGGCUUCAUAGACUCCAUAGGACCUUUGAACUCUGGUAUAUGAUAUCAAGUUUUCACGGCCCGAGCCUACACCCUAGGCGGGAUUGGCACUCGAGAACCAUUGAUGGCCCCAAGCGAACCAUUGGCCUGGCUUACUUAUUCAGCGGAAGACUUUAAGCAUUAUGAAAAGAACGCAAAUGCAAGAUAACUCAAUUGUCUCAAACUAAACUCAUAAUGUUUUAGAAAUAAACAUUUAACUUAACCAAAGUGGCAACUCAAAUAUGAACAUAAGCCAAUAACAAAGUAAAGACAAAUGAACUAACUUUCUGUCUAUCUAUGAAGCCUCGGAUAACUGAGAUGGAUGUCGGGAAAAGACCCACAACAUCCUAAUGAACUAAAUAUUGAAAUCAAUAAAAGGGAUCCUCCGAAAAGCAAAGAGGCUCACCACCAGACUCUGAGUACAUAACUGGAUCAACGAUACGCUGGAUAUUGAUCUUGGUUACCUCCGUCUGCAUCAUAAUAAUAUGCAAGCCAACUAGCAUCAGUACAUUGAAUAUACGAGUAUGCGAGUUGGAAUGAUAAACAUAACUUAAGCUUGAAAAGAAUCUGAAAGAAACACUUACCUUGGCUUUACUCAACUCCCGAAUAACUUAACUCAAUAUAAAGCAAUAAAACACAUGCAAUAUAUAGAAAGCCUUUAAAACAGUAGAAAUCAACUUAGUUUGUUAAAUAAAAUGCAAUAACAAACUCAACUUUACUCAUAUAAUAAAGUAAUAUAGUUUCUGUUGGAGUUUCUUUAACCGACCACCACCACUAUGAGCCAAAGUGGUGAUACAACUUCUUGCCCACGCUAUCAAAACAUUUCUAUACUUUGCUGUCAUAUAGAACGCUUAACUAAGUGGAUCCACUAAUCAAUGCUAAAAGCAUCUUAAGGAGUCAUCUAAAAAGUAUGAUCAUUUACUACCCAUGAUGGCUACAUGGUUUAUGGAGACGUGAGUUAUCUGAACUCAAGCUCCUCCUCAUAUCAGUGCUCAAUACUACUCUCAAAAUAUACUUAGCUCAUAUGUUUGUAAACAAACUCUUCUUUGAUUUGAGAUAAUUACUCAAAACUUAGCUUAAAAGCUCUCUUGGAAAUCUCAGUUUCCUUUCUUGCUCAAAUGUGAAAACAUUUUAACUCUUGGGAAUACUUAGUUCUCGUAUAAUCUUUAAAUAAUGAACUUUACUCUUACUCUUUACUGAAAACUAGCUCAAAAAGCUCUUUUGGAAAUCAAGAUUUCCUUUCUUCUUUAAAUGUGAAAACAUUUACUCUUUGGGAAUACAUAGUCCCGCUAUACUCUUUUGAAGAAAUGAACUACAAACUUUAGUCUUUACUCAACUCAAAACUCAAGUCUUAAAACAAAGUUAAAACAUUUGUAAAAGACUUUUUGAAAACUUUAUGAACUUCUCUUGACUUGGCUUUUAACUUCUCAUGACAUUACUCUUAACUUCUCUUGACUUUGACUCUUGACUUUCCUUGAAUUGAAUUAUGGAUUCAAGGAUUGUGAUUUGUGAUAGGAAAGAUCUCAUGAUGUUUAGGAGUGUUUUAAGAUAGUUAAACAUGAGAAAAGAUCAAGAAAUCACUGUCUGGAAGCAAGUUCGCGACCCGGAGAUGCAUUUAAUUAUUUGGUCCCGAAAUAAAUUUUGAGACAGAACUGUCUGUGACCACUCCUCGACACAGAGAAAAUUUUGUCAAUCCUAAGGAACAGGUCCGCGACACGGACCUGGUACCCAGAUUUUCCCGACUUGUUCCUUCUUCAUUUUCAAACCCCAAUUCGCCUAAACUCGGUUCUUUUUCUCAAUAUCACUUUAGAUUCAGGUACCCACAACAUAUACACAAGAGUAUAACUCAAACAACUCUAAUAAUCGACUCUACAAACUCAAGAAAAUUCUCCAUCUCAUCCCAAUUCAAGAACGAAAGUAAAUUUGAGACCCUAACUUAAUUACCAAAAAUGAAAUUAAUUAAUUGGGUGGUGAAAAGACCAUAAUGCUCUUCUAAAAUCCGGAUUGAACUUUCCUUAUUUGAACAGCCCAACUUCCAAUAAGCAUAACUCACUUAUAUGAACUGAGAAUCGUGUAAACUUGGAGACGUUGGAAAGAUUAUUCCUAGAUCUUUCUUACGAUAUCUGGAAGCACACCUAACUCAUCCUGAGCUAGGAGUUAUGGUUGUUUGAAGUUAACCAAAAACUCAAACUUAACUUAACCAAUUUUUUCCAGAUUUUAUUAUUUCCCAAAAUCGCUCUUUCUAAUUCUAGCUCUUUCUAGUUCUUUCAAUUUGCGAGAUGUUACAAACCCAACCUACGAUGCAAUGCAUACAACUAAAGAGGAACUAUCGACUCCAAGCUAAGACAUUCUCAAAACAUCAAAAGAAGGGUGAACUAACUCUAUCAGCCCAUUAUGUAUGCAAUGCACAUAAAUAAGGAGAAAACAUCAACUCCAAACUCAUUAUACUCAAAUGCAUCAAAAAGGAAGUAGGAACUACAUCUAGCAACCCAAUAUGCAGGAAAUCCAAAAUUUCUCAUAUCUAAGGAGGAACUACCUUCGCCAAACUAAAAGCAUGCUCAAUACAAUCUCAUAGAGCCUUUAUGCAAUUCAUUCUCAAAGUGCUUAGCUUAUGCAUGUUCAACAAUCAUCUCAUGAAGUCUAUAGGAAAUUCAUACUCAAUGCACAACAACAUGAGGGAAACUAAAUCAUACAAGUCAUUUCUUUCAAAACUUAAGCUUUCACAUGAACAUGCAUAAUCAUAAGGAAAUCAUGGAAACACAUAAAUCACACAUGACUCCCAACACUUAAAACAAGCCAAGAGGAACUCAUUACCUCAAGCAAGAGUAGGAGUAGAAGGAAAGAGAUGAAUAUAUCGAGACUUCAUAUCGGCCUCGGCCUACCAAGUAGAACCCUCAACUAAAUGAUUCCUCCAUAGCACCUUCACGGAGGCAACUUCCUUGUUUCUCAACUUUUUGACUUGCCGGUCCAAGAUCUCAAUCGAAACUUCCUCAUAAGAGAGACUUUCAUUAACUCUCAGCCCUUCUAGGGAAAUUAUGAAUGUCGGAUCUCCAACACACUUCUUAAGCAUAGAGACAUGGAAAACUGAAUGCACCGAUGACAACUCAUUUGGCAAGUCUAACUCAUAGGCAACCUUACCAAUACACCUCAAAAUUUGGUAUGGGCCUACAUAGCGGGGACUAAGAUUCCCUUUCUUGCCAAACCUCAUCACACCCUUCAUGGGUGAGAUUUUUUUAUAGACCCAAUCAUUAACCUCAAAUUCUAGGCCCCUUCUUCUCACAUCGGCAUAAGAUUUUUGUCUACUUUGAUCUAUCCUCAACCUCUCUCUAAUGAGUCGGGCCUUGUCAAUGGCUUCAUAGACCAAUUUGGGACCUAAUAGGGAAACUUCACCUACCUCAAACCAACCAAUGGGAGAUCUACAUCUCCUACCAUACAAGACUUCAAAGGGAACCAUACUGAUACUUGAGUGAUAGUUAUUAUUGUAGGGAAACUCUAUCAAUGGCAAGUGGUCAUCCCAAUUACCCUUGAAGUCUAUUACACAUGCCCUUAACAUAACUUUCAAUGUUUGGAUGGUAAGCUCCGCUUGCCCAUCGGUUUGGGGAUGAAAAUUCGUACUAAGCUUAACCUUAGUGCCAAGACCUUUUUGAAAUGACUUCCAAAAGUGAGAAGUGAAUUGGGUACCACGAUCAGAAAUAAUAGAUAAAAGAACUCCAUGCAACUUCACCAUUUCACUUAUAUACAACUUAGCAUAGUCUUUCGACGAAAAAGAAACCUUGACGGGGAGGAAAUGAGCUGAUUUUGUCAUCCAAUCUAUAAUGACCCAAAUUAAGUCAUGUUGUCGCUGACUACGUGGCAACCCUAUAAUAAAGUCCAUAUUCACAUCUUCCCACUUCCAAGUAAGAAUAGCAAUAUCUUGGGACAAACCUCCCAGCCUUUGGUGCUCAACUUUCACUUGUUGACAAUUAGGACGCUUGGCCACAAAUCUCGCAAUAUCUUUAUUCAUUCCAUUCCACCAAUAGACUUCCCGUAGAUAAUGAUACAUCUUGGUGGCUCCCGAGUGAAUAGAACAUCAAGAACUACGGGCUUCCUCUAAAAUUUGUUCCCUCAAGUCAUCAACAUUUGGAACACAUAACUGACAUUGAUACCUAAGCACCUCAUUUCCCCCUUGGGAGAAAACCUCAAUAGACUUUUUAAGCAUUGCUUCCUUCAAUUCCACCAAAAUAAUGUCAAGACCUUGCUUAGACUUCACAUCCAUCACAAAGGAUGAUUCAAAACCAUUAUGGGCCAUGACACCACCCUUGGUGAAAUCCACUAGUUGAACACCUAGUCGAGCCAACCUAUGAACAUCACGAACCAACUCUUUCUUUUCUUCAUCUACAUGAGCCACACUACCCAUUAACAAUCUACUAAGGGCAUCCGCUACCACAUUAGCUUUACCAAGUGAUAAAGGACACUCAUGUCAUAAUCCUUCAAGAGUUCUAGCCACCUUCUUUGGCGAAGAUUCAAGUUCUUUUGACUAACAACAUAUUGUAGACUCUUAUGAUCGGUGAAAACAUCCACAUGGACCCCAUACAAAUAAUGCCUCCAUAUUUUUAAGGCAAACACAAUCGCCGCUAACUCAAGGUCAUGGGUAGGAUAAUUCUUCUCAUGCAUCUUAAGUUACCUUGAAGCAUAGGAAAUCACCUUACCAUUUUGCAUAAGUACACAUCCCAACCCAACUAUAGAGGUAUCACAAUACACCACAAAACCAUCCUUCCUUUCGGUAAGGUCAACACCGGAGCGGAAGUAAGUCUAUCCUUCAACUCUUGGAAAUUUUUCUCACAAGCUUCCGACCACACAAACUUAGCCUUAUUUUGAGUCAAAGUCUUCAAAGGAGAAGCAAUGGAAGAAAAUCCCUCAACAAACCUUCUAUAGUAUCUGGUCAAACCGAAAAAGCUUCUAAUGUCAGAAGGAGUUAGAGGCCAAGGACAAUUCUUGAACGCAUGUGUAUUCUUAGGAUCUACCUCAAUUCCCUUACUUGACACAAUUUGACCAAGGAAAGCUACGGACUUUAACCAAAAUUCACACUUGCUAAACAUAGCAAAAAGUUGUUGGUCCUUAAGAACCUGCAACACAAUUCUCAAAUGGUCUGCAUGCUCAUUCUCGCUCCUAGAAUAGAUCAACAUAUCAUCAAUAAACACAAUUACGAACAUAUCAAGGUAUUGUCUAAACACUCUAUUCAUCAAAUCCAUAAAUGUCGUCGGAGCAUUAGUCAACCCAAACGACAUAACCAAAAAUGCAUAGUGACCGUACCGGGUUUGAAAAGCCUUCUUUGGAAUAUCAUCCCCUCUCACCCUCAAUUGGUGAUAACACGAACGAAGAUAAAUCUUACAGAAAUAUCUAGCCCCUUGAAGUUGGUCAAACAAGGCAUCAAUUCUUGGAAGAGAAUACUUGUUCUUAAUGGUCACUUUAUUCAAUUGGUGAUAAUCAAUGCACAUCUUAAGAGACCCAUCUUUCUUUCUAACAAACAACAUGGGAUCACGCUAAGAGAUACUCGAUCGGAUGAAACCCUUAUCCAACAAGUCCUUCAAUUGAUCUUUUAACUCCUUAAGUUUUGAUUCCUCAAUUUGUUGGGCGUACACCAUAAGACGUGAGAUAUUCAUAUCAUGAAGGAGCAUUGUCGUACGACAUUCUUUUUCUACCAUGUCGGACACGCCCGUUACAAACUUACUCAUCUUAGACCUCGAAUCCGCCACCAUAGUUGGAGCAUACUUAGAUAGUUGGGUGAACUUUAAAGCGUACUGCCUAACACUCAUACUUCCUUAACGAAGGUUAAUGAACUCUUGCACCUUUAUUUCUCUUAACUCAAGGGGAAAGAACCUAUCAAGAAACACCGAUUUAAACACUUCCCACUCUACGGGACCCGCUCCAAGUGGUCUCUCUUACCUUUAAUUGAUCAUACCACACUUGAGCAACAUCUUUCAAUUGGUAAGCGGCUAACUCCGCCUUCUCCUCCGGAGUCACCCCCAUAAUAGUAAGUACCUUAUAGACCUCGUCAAUAAACCUUUGAGUAUCUUCCUCCACUUUGGAGCCAUAAAAUUCCAAAGGGUUCUUCCUUACAAAAUCCCUCACUCUUGAAGCCGCCCAAUUCACAUUAGGAUUCAUAAGAGCUACAACCUCUCUAUUGGCUUGAAUUGCCAAAGCUUGUUCCAAUAUUUGAAAAGCCGACCUAACCUCCACAUGUAUCGUAUUCUCAGUCGAAAGAUCUAUCGAAGCUUGAGGAGGGGCUCUUUGUUCCACGUUCUCCUCGCAUUCCUUCUAGUAUAAGCCCUUCGAGAAGACAUAUCCUAAAGAGCAUAAGCUAAGUAUUAGAAGAGAAACUUUAUAGAGUUAAACUCUAUGGAAUGACUUAAGAGUAAUGAAAGAAGUGGAGUUUCCUAAUCAUCUUGUAGCCUCUCAUUCAUAAAUGUGGCGCGCUUCACACUCAUGAACAAGACUAUACUAGACGUGGCUUAUGAGACAUCAUCCUAGGAUCAUUCUAAACCUUGUGCUCUAAUUACUAAGUCUGUCACGACCCAGAGGUACCCCCUAGAUGUAACAUGGCAUAUAGAACUCCUAAGGACUCCAUAUAAGCAACUUAGCAUAUCAUAACAUAAAGCAUUAGAACAAUAAAUAGUAAAACAACAUUUAAGUCCAAAACAUCUUUAUAGGAAAGCGGAAGUCUAACUCAUGUCUCAACAUCACCAUCUAUUACAAUCAAAUAAAACUGGGCCUAGCCCAUACAUCAUGUUCAAAAAGGAAAUACGAAAGUGAAACUACAAUAAGGAAAAUCCAUCCUCGAACUAUGAGGACUCACCAAGCUCGGAAAGAGAUCAAAGUCCAAGAUCUAGCCACUAGAAUGGAAACCCUGCCUAUCAGACCCUACAUUUGAGAAAAAUGUAGGCAAGAGUAUGCGUUAGUACGAAAAUGCACCAAGUAUGAUAGCUAUGCAUAAAAACAUUUAAAAUAUGCUAAAAAGGACAUUUCAUUUCAUGAUAUGCAAUUUAACAAGUUUAAACAUCAUGAUACAGGUAGCUGGAAAACAUAGGUAAUAACAUCAUGGUCAAUGCAAGCGAAAUCAUCUUUAAGUCUUUAAGCACAUAUGAGAAACUUCUUUAAGUAACUUUAGUUCAUUAGUCAACUUGUUAUGGGAGAAUUAUCCUUAACCGACAUAGAGACCAUGUGAGCUAAAACAUGAUCACAUGUUGUCUCCCACACCGAAAAGGGGUGUUUUACUUGCAUAAGGUAGAACCAUGAAUAUCUAGCUUAAGUGGAACCACUAGCUAAUAAACGUAUGGGGGCACAUAGUUACGAGAUAAAAAGAUUGCUUCUAGAAACCCGACCUCUACUGACGGAAGAGCUUCCAUCUCAUGAGACUUCUUUUAAAAACUAGACCUCUACUGACGGAAGAGCUUCCAUCUCAAUGUCAAUAUCCACUCGGUGCUAAGCUUAAUUCCCAAGGAAUAGCAUUUCUAACUUAUUCUCAUUAUUCAUGGAAAGACAUGUCAUCUUGUCAAUCCAAGCUAGUUCAUUGGAUAGCUCUUAUUCAAUUAGGUGAGAAUAGCCUUUCAACCUAAGAAUCCUUUCUAUGUGAGAAAACCUUUCACAUCAUAGUUGUAAGUAUUUUAUGAGAAUAACCUUUCAAUAACACAACAAUAUUAACAACAUUGGCACUUUGCCCUCAAAGCACCCUUAAAACAUCUACAUAGGUUUCAUAAGAUCAUGAAUAACUUCAUACUUUGCCCUUUCAAGGUUCAAAGCUACCUCCAAUCACCAAAUCUAGAAUUCUAACAUUAUAUAGGGAUUUUAUCAUAAUUUCAUGUAAUUCUAUUACUUCACGCUUUAGAAUCAUAAAACUCGUCUUUCAUAAUCAACAACCCAACUCAAUGAUAUCACAAUUUGGAAAACAUGGGGGUUUCAUGGGUUCAUAGGGGAAACAUCGUAAAAGCAUUGUAAAUCAUCAAUUCAUGCAUAUUUAAACAUAAUUCAAACAUUAAGAUCAAUAAUCAAAAGAACCCAUGAUACUUGAGGAAAACCCUAGCUAAUUGGGGAAUCCUACCAUUUGAAAUAGAGGAAUUUGGGGACUUCGUGGGUGGAAGGAACCCAUGGAUGAUAGCUACCAUACCUCAAGUCCAAUUGUGUAUAUUCAAUGGACAAUUUCUCCUUAUCUUGAAACCCUAGGUAAAUCCUUCUUCUUCUUCAAGUUUCUAGAGAGAGAAUAUUUAAGUGGAAUUGGUUUUCUUUUGUGAAUUUGGAAGAAUAAACUAAUUGAGUCUAAUUUGGGUGUAAAAAGACUUAUAUAGGGAUUUUAAAUGUAGUCAAACCGACAUAUUAUUGAAACUAAUUAAUUAGGAAAAGACCCAACUGCCCCUAAAAAAUAACUGAAAGAUGACCAUCCAUAGACCCCAGCCGACGGAAAGUGGUCUAAUCCAUGGCCUGUCCUAAUGGACCGUCAUUUGGGGGUCAGAGACUUGAUCUUUAAGGUCUCGAACCAUGGGCCCUGACCACAGACCGUGGUCUGACCUACAUUCUGGGGGUCAGGUCGUGGUUCUGAGCUACUAGACCAUCUUGUGCAGGGCCAUCCAUGAACCACACCUAUGGUAUGUGGUCCUACCCAUAGGCCGUGGGAGGACUCUCAUGGUUGGCACCUGCAUUUUCCCCAAAGUUGCUUCUUUUCAUUUUUUCAGAUAUGGGGUGUAACAUACUCUUUUGUGGUGUAGAUUGUAUUCGAAUUUGAGCGCAUUUCUUGAAGCUUUAAUCUGAGUUUGGAUUAUCUUGGAGUUGUGGUGAACUGCUUGGAUAUUAUGUGGCACAUACCUUAAUCUAUCUCAUGUAUUAGGUCGCGUUGGUAUCGUGAUAGGGUAUUGCUUAUGUUUGGACUUGUUAAAUAAUUAGAGACUUGUAUUGACUUUAGAAGCUCUUGUAAUUAUGAAACUAAAUCUUUGGGGUGGUAUUUUAGGUUUUCGCAUUUCAUACUUAUAAAUGACUUAGUGUUUGGAUAUUAUGUUGAUGCAUAUCUUUCUACCUUAAAUAUUGAAUUGAAUUGGUAAAAGUAUUGUGUUGGCUUACCUAUCGGUUGGGAACAUAGGUUCCAUUACGACUUGUAAAUUUAGGAACGUGACAAUUAUGCUUAAGCAUAUGCAUAGAGGCAUGACCUGGAAGAAUGCCAAGCAUGGAAUACCCUAUGGGUACCUCUUGAAUCAUGUGUUUGAACAUUUUGGGGUGCCUCUUGGCAGGGGAGUAGUAGGGACAAUAAAGCAAACUUUCUCUACAGCCACACUUCUGGAAUGUUAGUGUGUUGAGGGUAAGGUCAAAGCCAAGUCCCACGUUUUUAGCUACUUGAAAAAUAGGACACUCUUAAGCAUGAGUUGGAGGAUUUCACGGUAGUCUUGAGUGGAAAGGAUGUGGAAAUUGCUAGACUUAGGACCCAACUUCAACAGGCUAUCUCUCAAGGACCCGGAACUAGUUCUGACAGUAAAGAGGAAGUCAAAAAAUUGAGGGUUGAAAAUGCGUGGCUGAUUGAAUCAAAUGCCUCACUGAAUGAAGAAAUCAAGUCCCUCAACAAGCAACUCAUUCAGGCACACGUUGAUGCUAAUUCCCGCAUGAAUUUUGUGUUGCAGUCCUUCUCUCCUCGUCCCUCUCCGUCCUAAAUGAGUCUGUUGUUUAUUUUCUUAAUUCUUUCAAUGUCUUUUGUUUUUCCCCUAUCUUCAAUCUAUACUAGCAAUGUAUUGUUUUGACUAGAUUCAGUGGCCAAUUUGUGAUAUGAUAUUAUAAUCCAAUUUGCCCUAUUUGUUGUGAUUUUAUCUGCUCUAUUUCUGCCUGCAUUCAUGCACUGUGUGGCCUACGGCUUUGAAUUUAUUACAAUUGUUGUGCCGUAAUUUAACUAACCUUUAGAAAAAUCACUUUUUUUGAAAUAUUCUAAGUAUAAAACAAUUGGAGAAGAAUACUUAGAAAAGAGUCGCCACUUUAAUUUUUUAAAGAAAUUAAGAAAACUUAUAAUUUUCGAAGAUUUUAAAAACAGAAAAAAAUCAUUUGAAAAUACCAAAGAGGGUUCGAGGUUCAAUUUACGCUUCGAGAAGGAUUUAAGCAUUCGAAGUGUCCGCUAACAUGCGGUUGACCUGCGACUUGACUAAAAAUAUAUUUGACUAUUUUUAGGAAAAUAAUGAUUUAACAUAAAAAAAAAUAAUAACUUACAAUAUUUGAUUAAAAAAAAGUUAAAUAAAUGACACAUUUUAUUUUAUUUUAUUUUAUAGAGAAAAGGGAGUCAAAAUGAAAUAUUUGACUUGAAAAUAAGUGAUUAGAAUAUUAAUAAUACUAGAUUAAUUGGAAUUUAUUUUAUUCAUUUUUUGAAACAAUAAUUUAAACCCAUUUAAAGCAUGAAAAUUAUUUUUUAUUAAUUGACUAACCUUUUUGAGAAAAAGACUAAGUAAGUAUUUUAUAAUAAUAAUUAACAUUAUUAAAUUAAUUUUGACAAAAUAGUUAAACAAAUAGCAAUUUUUUAUUUUUUAAGAAAAUGGGACCUUAAUUGAAAUAUUUGAAUUAGCGACAAGUAAUUAGGAUUGAAACUAAAUUAGUUGUUUUUUAUUUGAGUCAUUCUUCGGUUUAUGGAAAAAACUAUUUUAAACUAAUAAAAAUAAUAAAAUAAAAAAAAGUUUUGACUAAAGAUUACAAAUGAAAAUACAAGAGUUGAUAAAAUGAGAUUUGUUAGAAAUAAAACAACACAGAGGAAUAGUUCGUCUUUUGGGGAAUUCAACUAAGUUAAUUAACAAUUAUAAAGAUACACUGGGCGUAUAUCAGUGUAUAUGAGCAUAUAAAUCAGCUCUUUUCAUGUAUAUCUUGCUUCCAAACACAUAUACUUCGUCUCAUCCCUGUAUUCCUACGUUUUUGACCUGUAUAUAAGUGUAUACAGCUGUAUACAUCUUGUAUACAACCUCUUUUUAUGCUUUUUGAGACCUGUUCGUCGGCUUUAAGCUGGUUGACUUGAUAAAGGAAAACGUCGGGCCUAAAUGGCCCAUUUGUAAUGCAAAGGGUAGAAGCCCAAGUCCCAAAGGACUCCUCGAUAGAUCACAUACAUAAAAAACAAAACAAAAAAAAAAACAAAACACAUAAGUACCGUCCAUUGACAAUUUAAUAUUGGAGAAAACAUUCGAUGAAAUGAACCAACAUACUGAGAUUUCAAGCGACUCAUACUUGCAAAAAUUUGACUCCUAGCUUAAGCACAAUACGGAUGGAUUUACCUUGCAUAUGAUAAUUAAUAUAUGUUGACAAUUUAAUAAAAUAACUACACACUAGUGCAACUAUCUAACAAAACAUUUCAAACUCAUGCUAACAGAAAGCAAAUUGGAGUUGUUAAACUUUUGAUGAGCAAUAUUUAAACAUCCCUUAAAGUAAGUAAGUGAGGAAGUUACACAAAAGCGAAUGCACUAGUCCUAUUCUCUUAACAAGAAAACAAUACUAUAUAAAAGAAAACAAAAUACACAUGAAGAAGAAAACCAUAGCGAUGUGAAAUGGACAAUGAACAAAACACCGACACCUCUCAAGCAUUAAACAAAAAGUUGGAACACUACUACCAUCCACAAAGGGGCCAACACAAUAGAGAAAAUCAAUAGCAAUGGUGGACUUGAACAAAUAAACAAGUGACUCCAUAUUAAGGCAAAGAGGAGAUAACAUAUUUGCAAAAUACAAGGAUCAUACACUAUUCAAGUGGAAACUAAAAAAAAACUUUAAUAUGAAGACCAAGGCAAAUCAAUAACAAAGAGAUGCUUAUAGAAAUUAUCAAACCAUAAAUCAUCUAAUUUGAUCAAAUCACGAGAUGAUGUUCAUUUGAGCACAAAAAUCAAAUAACUAUGCAUACUCACUCUACUACAACGUCAAGAGUCUAGAACCCACAAGCCAUCAAGAUCGAUUCAUUUAUGGGAAACAAACGCCAAUAAGAUAGCAAAAAAAAAUAAAAAAAUAAAAAAUAAAAAAUAACCAGAAACUGAUCAGCAGGCAAAUGCUUAACUUAUGCUCAAGAAUUAGCCUACUUAUAGUAAAAAUAAUAAUAAAGGAAAUGAGAACACAAAAAUGAAUUCAAACUUAUUUCACAUACUCAAAAACGUCCAAAACAUAUAGUAGAUGUAACCUGGUGCACUAUUCAAGAUGUAAUAAAUCAUAAGGACGAUAACAAGUGGUAAUCGACGAAUAUGCAUUAAUUCGAAACCAAGCAACCUUUUAUCAUACAACAGCCAUGAGCCAAGCAAAGAACAAAGUCAAUCGAGGAAGCAACAAAACAAACUGAAAUGAGUUGAAAUCAAAAGGGGGUUCACCUUUUCGAGGGCAGCGAAUCGGGACGGCUACAAGCUCAAAGCGACUUCACCACUUACUUCAAAACUCGAGCGAUGAAAUCAGAAUAUCCAAAUCGAUUUUAAACGAAGACCCUUUCAGAACCUAGAACUAAAAAUGCAUUCCAAAUUUCUCAAGUGCAAAAAUUAAUUGUUCAAGAAAAAUUUCCAGAAAAACCAAAAAAACCCCUCCUAAACAAUGAAUAAGAAGGGGUAUUAUAUAGAUGGGGGAAUUAGGGCUCGGAUUCUCGGGGGAAAGGAUAGAAUAGGAAUUCUCCCACUCAAUCCUCAAUUCAAAAAAUUUCAAGAACCAAAGAGCUGCUCGUUUUUACAAGAAAUCAACCCAAAUCCCACGAAAUCCGGAUGACAAGAUUAAGAUGGGCGGCUGUUGCAGAGAUUUGGACUGCUGUUGCUUUGACAUUUUUGGAUUUGCGUCUGGGGAAGAGGAAGACGCUGGCAGGGGCUGUUUUGGUACUGUAUGGAUGUUGUUUAUCGUAUUGUAGUGUUGGAAUUGUGAAGGGAAAGGGGAUGGGGGUUGGCUGGAAUUGCUACUGCUGU